GUGCCAGCAGCCGCGGUAAAACGUAGGAACCGAGCGUUAUCCGAAUUUACUGGGCGUAAAGCGCGUGUAGGCGGUUCGGUAAGUUGGAUGUGAAAUCUCCUGGCUCAACUGGGAGAGGUCGUUCAAUACUGUCGAACUUGAGGGUGGUAGAGGGAGGUGGAAUUCCCGGUGUAGUGGUGAAAUGCGUAGAUAUCGGGAGGAACACCAGUGGCGAAAGCGGCCUCCUGGACCAUUCCUGACGCUCAGACGCGAAAGCUAGGGGAGCAAACGGGAUUAGAAACCCCGGUAGUCCUAGCUGUAAACGAUGUUGACUUGGCGUUGGUGGGGUAAAAGCCAUCAGUGCCGUAGCUAACGCGAUAAGUCAACCGCCUGGGGACUACGGCCGCAAGGUUAAAACUUCAAAGGAAUUGACGGGGGCCCGCACAAGCAGCGGAGCGUGUGGUUUAAUUCGAUGCUACGCGAAGAACCUUACCCGGGUUUGACAUAUAGGUAGUAGGGAUCUGAAAGGUGACCGACCCUUCGGGGAGCCUAUACAGGUGCUGCAUGGCUGUCGUCAGCUCGUGUCGUGAGAUGUCCGGUUAAGUCCGGUAACGAGCGCAACCCUCGCCAUAUGUUACAUGUGUCAUAUGGGACUGCCGGUAUAAAGCCGGAGGAAGGUGGGGAUGACGUCAAGUCAGCAUGGCCUUUUUGUCCGGGGCUACACACCCGCUACAAUGGCCAGUACAAUGGGUUGCAAAACCGCGAGGCGGAGCCAAUCCCCAAAGCUGGUCUCAGUUCAGAUUGUAGGCUGUAACUCGCCUACA
rnacentral:rRNA from 1 species